AAAUGAAUUGACGGGGGCCCGCACAAGCGGAGGAACAUGUGGUUUAAUUCGAUGAUACGCGAGGAACCUUACCCGGGCUUGAAAUGGAGUGGAAUAAUUUGGAAACAGAUUAGUCAGCAAUGACCGCUUUGUAGGUGCUGCAUGGUUGUCGUCAGCUCGUGCCGUGAGGUGUCGGCUUAAGUGCCAUAACGAGCGCAACCCUUAUUGAUAGUUACCAUCGGGUAAAGCCGGGGACUCUAUCGAGACUGCCACCGCAAGGUGUGAGGAAGGUGGGGAUGACGUCAAAUCAGCACGGCCCUUAUGUCCGGGGCGACACACGUGUUACAAUGGGAGGUACAGAGGGUUGCUACCACGCGAGUGGAUGCUAAUCUCUUAAAGUCUUUCUCAGUUCGGAUCGGAGUCUGCAAUUCGACUUCGUGAAGCUGGAUUCGCUAGUAAUCGCGCAUCAGCCAUGGCGCGGUGAAUACGUUCCCGGGCCUUGUACACACCGCCCGU
rnacentral:rRNA from 1 species